ACAACAGUAGCAGCAGCAGCAGGCGCGGUUGACGAAUCAGAGUGGGGAAGGGAAGCGAGCAAGUAAGCAAGCAAGCAAGCAUCAAGGGACUGGGGAAUAUAGGAGAGAGAACACCGCUCAGACCUCAGUGGGCCAGCGACCUUACUGAGAGUAGGGUGUGUUGCGCGGAGCUCUCGGGAGAUGCCAGUUGUCGCCCGACUCUGGCUUUUGUUUACAUCACCAAUCGACAGCCUCUAACUCCCUCGUCUAUAUAAAACACCAAGAACGACAAGAAGAACUGGAAGUAGAAGAAGCGAGAAAAAAGUAAAAGGGAAAAAAAAAAUAACACAAAGCACAGGACAAAGACUUCACGGGCUGUGGACUUUCAAGAGAGAAAGGAAACGAGUUAUUUUUGCAAACUACGUAUCAUAUUACCUCUCGUCCCUUAGUCCUCUCUUACUACCUUUCUACCUUCCUCAGCAUCUCUACUUUCUCUCUCUCUCUCUCUCUCUCUCUCUCUCUCUCUCUCUCUCUCUCUCUCU